UUCACGUUGAUUUUUCGAUCCACUCCAGUAAUUUCGUAGCUCUGACGACAUUAGCUGCGGUCAGGUCUGCCAACAAUGCGAAAGAAAUACACAAUUUGUCAUAUAUCAACUGUCAUGGAGUACUAACCAAUCCAUCGUGGUUCACAACAACCCUCGUGUGGGCUCUACUCACAUAUCUUCGCCAUCUGCGUAGGAUAUACUUGUCAGCAAUACUUUGACAUCGUGACGGAUUAACACUGUGAUUGCAUGCUUACAUAGUAUUCCUCAAAACUUGAAUAAGUGGCAACUGUAAGUAAUUUCAUACUUUUCUGCCUGAAAAGAGACAAAAGAACGUCUUUUUCUUCGAACGUGAUUCGUAGAUGACAUCCUUUCGUAUCUCACACCUUGUUCCCAAACAUCCCACACAAGUAGAUACGAGAUCGCAAUACGUCUUUCCAGUGAACUCCUCCUAAACUUCUCUAAAUUUAUAAAUGGUGUAAACUGCUUGAAAUUGCUUCUCCAUUUUAUACCGUGUUGCAUAUGGUACCAUUCGCAAGUAAGACUUGAAAUAUGCUUAAAACUUCUUCUUGACUUUAUUUCUCAAUACUCUUUCAUACUGUUCAACAAAUUGCUUUAAUGAUGUCUUCGAAUGCACAUAUUCAUCAAAAAAUGCAUUCAUAUUCUCACUUUGUUGGGUUGUUAACAUCCCUACCCAGAAUGUGGUUUUAAAAUAACAAGGAACCCAACGACAUCUAUUCUUUUAUAGUCCCGCUAACCAAUCAUUAUCAUGCAACGCAUACAUAUCGAUCAUAGCCCUCCACCCAUCUUCGAACUGUUCAAUAAAUUGAGAAUCAUAAACAAAUUCGUGUAUAGACUGAAAUAUAGAAACCUUGUCCACAUGGUACCCAAACACUUCCGGUAACUUUUUUAAUAUAUGCCACAAACACCAUCCGUGUUUCGAAUUUGGAAACACGAUCUCAAUUGCAUUUUGCAUGGCCCUGUCCUGAUUUGUAAUUAUCUUAUGAGGAGCUUGGUCGUGCAUGCAUUGUAACAAUGUCUUAAACAGCCAUACAAAUGUAUCUGUAUCCUCUUUCGACACAAAACCACAUCCAAGUAGUGUGGAUUGUCCAUUAUGAUUCACCCCAACAAAAGGGGCAAAAUGCAUGUCGUACAACGUCAUCGAACUCUUUAUAUGCUUGUCACUCCUAUUAUUUGCCCAAAAAACAUUCUUCAACCUCGACUCAUCGUCCAAAUCCAUACUAAAAUAACACCCCGAGCAACUUGUUUACAUUUUCGAAAAGUAAGAUUGUAUUGCUGCGGUGUCUCCCUCUCCAAGCCUUAAGUGCCGAACUUGUUCAACAUAAUUUUAACAAUCUUUUUUUUCACGCAAGUCAUAUCUUCCUAUCCACAUGUUUCGACUG
rnacentral:lncRNA from 1 species